GGAUUGGUGGUCGAAUGGUUACCGCUUCUGCUUCAUGAGCAGAAGGUCAUGGGUUAAAUCCCAGGCCCGUCCC
rfam:Aedes aegypti strain Liverpool supercont1.6 genomic scaffold, whole genome shotgun sequence.